rnacentral:rRNA from 1 species
UACGUAGGGUGCAAGCGUUAAUCGGAAUUACUGGGCGUAAAGCGUGCGCAGGCGGUUAUAUAAGACAGUUGUGAAAUCCCUCGGCUUAACCGGGGAACUGCAUCUGAUACUGGAUGGCUUGAGUUCGGGAGAGGGAUGCGGAAUUCCAGGUGUAGCGGUGAAAUGCGUAGAUAUCUGGAGGAACACCGGUGGCGAAGGCGGCAUCCUGGACCGACACUGACGCUGAGGAGCGAAAGCCAGGGGAGCAAACGGG